CCAUGUUAAUAUGAUACCUACUUAAUGAGGGUGUUGUGAGGCCUAAUUAAAGUCCUUUGAGACCCUCCAGUGAAAGGAGACACAGACAUGCAAAGAAUUUUUCCCCUCCAUCAUUGCUCAGUGUACUAACAUAUGAACCUCACCUCCACUUCUGACCUGCUGGCUUUGGAAGUACAGGGGUUCCACAGUUAAGCCUUUUUACUUGUUUCUCAGUUUCAAUUUCUGCAUUAUUUUCUAGUUUGCACAUUUAAAUGGGAGUAGAGAUGGAGACUUAUAACUGAAAUAUGAGCUGCAGCUAUCCUGGCCACAAAUUCUGCUCUGCUGUGAUGAUCCUGAGAAACCACAAAUACUAUUGAAGUCCUACUGGAGCAUGGAUCUUGCCAGUGGCUAGGAGAUCAUACUAAUCCAUGGCUUGAUCCCAGAACCAUGAGGGAAGGUUGGAGCCUGAGUCAAGCCACGACACAGGGUUCAAGCCCUAUUGCUUUGCGGUGUAGAUGCAGCUCCAGUUGACGUAGGUCCUGGAAGGCUGCCAAAAGUAUCGCACAAUCCCAUAGGCUGACUUCCUUUGUUCUCUCAAUUCCCAAGAAUCUCCAAUGGACUUCAAUGAAAACAGAAUUGAACCCCCUUGGCAUACAGCAGCAGCUCAGUGAGUCCACAUUAACCCUGCCAUUGUCUUCUGACCACCGAGUUGCAAACACACCAUCAGUGUGCCUUCUGGGCUUGCAAUGGCGACUGACCUGAACAAGCCUUUUGCAAAGCCCGCUGCUUCACAGUCAUGGGAGCACAGCCAGAUUUUGGUGAAUCUCUCGUGCAAGGCCAGCAAAACUGUGGACUUCAGAAAGAGUACCAGGAAUGACCACACAUCCCAGCAAAGAUACUGACAACACUCCCAAUUUAGCAGACCGGUAACCAAUGCAGGAUGUGGAUUAAGUUGCUCAAGAGCUAGCAUCGGAAAAACUGAGAACCAGAAAACAGACUUCUGGCAAGUCACCCACAUUGUGCCAAUUUUAUGAGGCAUUUUACUGGAUGUUGGGCACUGUGCCCAGCACAGAGCCAUCGGAGGUGCAUGAUUACCUGGUCAGCCAGGAUGGUGCUCUGUUGGCUUCAGAAUCCAGCAUGGACACUAAUGGGAGCCAGCAACAAGUGAGGACCAUGAAAUCACUAGGUUGCUGAAACUGGUUUCAGAGCAGGCUUUGGAACAGGGGCAGCAGCAGCACAUUCUGGGUCCAUACUCAGAGAAGCUGUUUGAUGCCCUGCUGGAAGAACAGCCCCCUGCAGAGCCUGCAGCAGACAUAAAGUCGCCCCUGAGCCCAGUAAGUUUAUGGAUCCAUUAUAAACUUUGAUAAUACUGUAAUGGUGGUGAUUUCCACUCUACGAACCAAUGCAAAAGUGGUGACGCUCCAGCCAGCAGUAUGUAUUUGCUGAUGGUGGAUUGUAUCCUAGCGCCUUGGUGUCCCUCCUUCCCACCCACCAUAUGUUGUUCAAAAUGGGGACUGGCAAAUACAAACAGUAAAUAAGCGCUUUAAAGUGAAUUUUUACUGGAAAGAUGCAGAUUUUUGCUAGAGCCAUUCCUGUUUCUUGGAAAUAACAACCUUCCAUUGCCAUGCCUUUAAGUUUGCUGUUCUGCAACCACUCCAUGGUCUGUCAACAACCUGGAAACAGUGAACUCGAGGGGUGGGGGGGAGAGAAAUGUGUUCCAUUUACAAAUCUAGUCCAUUUUGGCAGUCCAUAGGUGACAAGAUAAUUUGUCCCAAGUAUGAUGGGUAUUUUAAGUUUUUAAUCCAGAAACGUGCCGGAUGUGAAGCUCCGCGUGAUUGCAUGCAGCCAGGACAAGACUAACACGGCUGCUACUCUGAAAAAUAACCUUAUGUGUCACAUCCUGUUCCUGGCCCCUCGACUUCUACUGCAUGCUGUACCUCCACAGCUUGUCCAUAGUAGUACAGGCCUGGGCCAAUGUACCUUCAU